CCCGUGUGUGUACCCGUGUGCGUGCGUGCGUGUGUGCGCGCGCGCGUGCUCGCGCGUAUGUAUGUAUGCGCGUGCGUCUGUGUAUUUUGAAUUUAAAAUGUUUUAACUCGGAAGGAUCUGGAUCGCAAGUCAUUUCAUCUGAGAUCAAUCCGCACAUAUAACAGCUGGAAUCACUUACUGAUUCACACAAUGAAGGACACAAGUCAGCCGUUUCCUCAAGUUCACGUCAGAGCGGAGAUUAUGUGAGAGGCAGACCCGAGACAUAGCGAGACAGUCUCCGCUUGGACUGGCUGAGGAAAGUCUCCUAAAUGGCCCUGGAGAUGUUCUGACUGACUUUGGAGACUUUUUGGACUGUUUUAUGCCCUCUAUUUAAAGAAGACUUAAUUCUGUAUGUUCAGUCUGUAUGAUAAGUGAAUAAGUGAAUAAAAAGCUUUUGUUUUUAUG